GCCUGGUUGGCUCAGUUGGUAGAGCAUGCAACUCUUGAUCUCAGAUUCUGAGUUCGAGCCCCACACUAGGUG
rnacentral:tRNA from 1 species